UGUUAUAAUACGAUCACGCCACCUUAUCGUCCCACUUUCGGCGGCAAUCGAGAGUGUAUAAAAAGGCGUCUCAGUGCUUGAGUCCAGCAUAACACAUUUUUGUGCAAUUUUAUUCAUUGUUUUCACUUUGUUCAACAAAAACCAACCAAAAAUCAAAAAUGGGCGCUGAAAAAGUAACCAUGAACAUCGUUGUCGUUGGACAAGUCCAAUCUGCCAAGGCCAUCAAAUCGGUCGCCAAAGCCACCCCAGCCACCAGCCAAUUGAUGAACUGUUAAUUCACCAUGUCCAUUAUCUCAAACUCAAACAUGCCAUAGCCCAAACAGUACAUUGUAAUAUGUGUAUUGACAUUGCAAAAUAAAUUGAAUAUCCGUUUUUUUUUUUUUUUAAAAA